rnacentral:rRNA from 1 species
GACGAACGCUGGCGGCGUGCUUAACACAUGCAAGUCGAACGAUGAAGCCGGAGCUUGCUCUGGUGAAUUAGUGGCGAACGGGUGAGUAACACGUGAGUAACCUGCCCUUGACUCUGGGAUAACUGCGGGAAACUGUAGCUAAUACCGGAUACGACCCUCGGAGGCAUCUCCUGGGGGUGGAAAGAAUUUCGGUCAAGGAUGGACUCGCGGCCUAUCAGGUAGUUGGUGAGGUAAAGGCUCACCAAGGCGACGACGGGUAGACGGCCUGAGAGGGGGACCGGCCACACUGGGAAUGAGACACGGCCCAGACUCCUAAGGGAGGCAGCAGUGGGGAAUAUUGCACAAUGGGCGCAAGCCUGAUGCAGCAACGCCGCGUGAGGGAUGACGGCCUUCGGGUUGUAAACCUCUUUUAGCAGGGAAGAAGCGAAAGUGACGGUACCUGCAGAAAAAGCACCGGCUAACUACGUGCCAGCCGCCGCCGUAA